AUGGCCCCCGUCGAGCGACCCUACAGAGUGGUCAGAGAUCUCAACAACCAAGAGUGUGAUAAAAGUCGAUGGCUUCGAAGUGCCAUCUGCUGUGAUGCAGACCGCCAUCAAGCCCCCAUCCGGUUCUCCUGGAACGCGAAGCCGAACGCUUACAAUCCCAUCCCGAGGUAUAUUUGCAUGUUGUACUUCGCAGAGCUUGAGAGCAACAGCAAGGUGCGCGAGUUCUACAUCACCAUGAAUGGCAAGCUCCUGUACCCUCUCGUCAUGUCGCCACGGUACCUCGUAACCGCUGCCAUCUACAACGACAAACCGUACCAUGGCUUUGACCAGUACAACAUCUCGCUGAAUGCCACCGCGAUCUCAACGCUUCCACCGAUCAUUAACGCCGUCGAGGUCUUCUUGGUCCUCCCUACCACCGGCACAGCCACGGCAACCCAGGAUGUUUCUGCCCUUACGGCGAUCAGAGCCAAGUACCGGGUGAAAAAGAACUGGAUGGGGGAUCCUUGUGUGCCGAGAAAAUUUGUGUGGGAUGGAUUGAGUUGUAGCUAUGCUGUCUCCAGCCCACCAACUGUCACAGGCUUGAACCUAUCUUCUAUGGGUCUGAGUGGCAACAUCUCGUGUUCUUUGGGGGAUCUCAGAGGAUUAGAGUACCUGGAUUUGUCACGCAAUAAUCUGACGGGCUCCAUUCCUGACAGUCUUUCACAAUCUCCGUCGCUUGCACUUCUUGAUUUGACAGGAAAUUGGCUUACCGGAGAAAUUCCUUCCAGGCUCCUGAAAAGAAGUCAAGAUGGCUUCCUAACUCUCAGAUAUGGUAACAAUCCGGACCUCUGCAGCAAUGGCAAUCCCUGUGUGCCUCCGAAGAGGAAGAGCAAUUCUAUGGUUCCCGUAUAUGUUGCCAUUCCAAUAGUUGCAAUACUGGUGAUUUUGUUGUUUUCUGUGCUGCUCAUUUGCAUGCGAAGGAGAAGGCAAGGAAGAACAAGCAACAGUGUUAAGCCUCAGAACGAGAUGCGCUUUAUCCCAUCGCACUCUUGGAACAGAAACAAUGACAGCUCAUUACGACUUGACAAUCGCCGGUUCACGUACAAGGAACUGGAGGCCAUAACAAACAACUUCCAGCGAGUGAUCGGCCAAGGAGGGUUUGCAAAAGUCUAUGAUGGAUUCUUGGAGGAUGGCACCCAGGUGGCUGUCAAGCUUCGGUCUGAGUCAUCUGCUCAAGGUGUACAAGAGUUCCUCGUCGAGGCUCAGACCUUAGCUAAGAUUCAUCACAAACAUCUUGUAACCAUGGUUGGCUACUGCAACGACAAAGAACACAUGGCCCUUGUGUACGAGUACAUGUCUGAAGGAGCUCUACAUGAACAUCUUAGAGGGAGCGACAAAACUUUAACCUGGGGACAGAGACUUCGUAUUGCCUUGGAAUCUGCACAAGGGCUUGAGUAUCUACACAAGGGGUGCAAUCCACCCCUCAUUCAUAGGGAUGUGAAGACAUCCAACAUUUUGCUGAAUGCCAACCUUGAGGCCAAGAUUGCCGAUUUUGGCCUACUCAAGGCUUUCAAUCGCGAUUGUGAUACCCAUGUGUCCACAGCCAGGUUGGUCGGCACGCGUGGUUACCUUGCCCCUGAGUAUGUAGCAACAUUGCAGCUGACUAAUAAGAGCGACGUAUAUAGUUUCGGAGUAGUGCUGUUGGAAAUAGUCACAGGCCGACCUCACAUCUUGAAUGAUCCAGAACCUAUAAGCAUCACCGAGUGGGCGCAGAAAUGCCUUUCACAGGGCAACAUAGAGGGCGUGGUGGACGCACGCAUGCGGGGAGAGCACGACAUCAAUGGUGUCUGGAAAGCAGCGGACAUUGCUCUUAAGUGCACUGCACAAACACCAAUGCAACGGCCCACAAUGACCGAGGUAGUGGCGCAGCUGAAAGAGUGUCUUGAGCUUGAGACUAUGUGCCGCAGGGGUGGCAGGUCAAACGCCAUGUUUCACACAGUGGGGAGCAGCGACUCAGUCACAAGUUAUGAUGGUUACACCACUAAUCAGUCUGCUGGUGUGAGUCGUAUCAAUGUUGUAGACAUGGAUCAUUUAGGCAGGGUCCCAACCAUGACUACUGGUCCGGUUGCGAGGUGA
rnacentral:rRNA from 1 species